rnacentral:rRNA from 1 species
AGAGUUUGAUCAUGGCUCAGGACGAACGCUGGCGGCGUGCUUAACACAUGCAAGUCGAGCGCUGAAGCCUUUCGGGGUGGAUGAGCGGCGAACGGGUGAGUAACACGUGGGUGACCUGCCCUCAGCUCUGGGAUAAGCCUGGGAAACUGGGUCUAAUACCGGAUAUGACCUUCUGUCGCAUGGCGGUGGGUGGAAAGUUUUUUCGGCUGGGGGAUGGGCCCGCGGCCUAUCAGCUUGUUGGUGGGGGUGAUGGCUUACCAAGGCGACGACGGGUAGCCGGCCUGAGAGGGCGACCGGCCACACUGGGACUGAGACACGGCCCAGACUCCUACGGGAGGCAGCAGUGGGGAAUAUUGCGCAAUGGGCGGAAGCCUGACGCAGCGACGCCGCGUGGGGGAUGACGGCCUUCGGGUUGUAAACCUCUUUCGGCCUUGACGAAGACCUUCGGGUUGACGGUAGGGGUAGAAGAAGCACCGGCCAACUACGUGCCAGCAGCCGCGGUAAUACGUAGGGUGCGAGCGUUGUCCGGAAUUAUUGGGCGUAAAGAGCUCGUAGGCGGUGUGUCGCGUCGGUCGUGAAAACUUGGGGCUUAACCCUGAGCUUGCGGUCGAUACGGGGCAUCACUGGAGUUCGGCAGGGGAGACUGGAAUUCCUGGUGUAGCGGUGAAAUGCGCAGAUAUCAGGAGGAACACCUGAGGCGAAGGCGGGUUGCUAGGCUGACACUGACGCUGAGUGCGCGAAAGCCAGGGGAGCAAACGGGAUUAGAUACCCUAGUAGUCC